rnacentral:rRNA from 1 species
UUUGGCGGUAAUGGAGAAGUGGAAACACCUGAACCCAUUCCGAACUCAGAAGUUAAGCACUUCCUCGCCGAUGGUACUAUGCACAAGAGUAUGGGAGAGUAGGUCGCCGCCAAGU